UGUUUGAUGUGCUGUAUCAAAAGGACAGUAUAUGAGUAAGGUUAGCUUUUGAAAAAGGCCUCCUUCCUUGAUUACACAUCCUAAACUGAUCAUAUAUUCUGAGCAAACA